rnacentral:rRNA from 1 species
ACUAAACAGCUAGCUCAACCCAACACGACCAAGCCUACAACAUACACUAGUCUAAUAAAAACUAAUCUUGUAAACUAAACCAUUCGACCACCCCAGUACGGGCGACGGAAAAGGACCCACGAAGCCAUAGAUAAA